AGGACGAACGCUGGCGGCGUGCUUAACACAUGCAAGUCGAGCGGAAAGGCCCUUCGGGGUACUCGAGCGGCGAACGGGUGAGUAACACGUGAGCAACCUGCCCUCAGCUCUGGGAUAGCUCCGGGAAACCGGAAUUAAUACCGGAUAUGACCCUGACUGACAUCGGUCAGGGUGGAAAGGAUUCCGGCUGAGGAUGGACUCGCGGCCUAUCAGCUAGUUGGUGGAGUAACGGCCCACCAAGGCGACGACGGGUAGCCGGCCUGAGAGGGCGACCGGCCACACUGGGACUGAGACACGGCCCAGACUCCUGCGGGAGGCAGCAGUGGGGAAUAUUGCGCAAUGGGCGAAAGCCUGACGCAGCGACGCCGCGUGGGGGAUGAAUGCCUUCGGGUUGUAACCCUUUCAGCAGGGACGAAGCGAGAGUGACGGUACCUGCAGAAGAAGCGCCGGCUAACUACGCGCCAGCAGCCGCGGUAA
rnacentral:rRNA from 1 species